rnacentral:rRNA from 1 species
AUUGAACGCUGGCGGCAUGCUUUACACAUGCAAGUCGAACGGCAGCGCGGGCUUCGGCCUGGCGGCGAGUGGUGAACGGGCGAGUAAUGCAUCGGAACGUUCCCAGUAUUGGGGGAUAGCGCGGCGAAAGCCGGAUUAAUACAGCAUACGACCUGAGGGUGUAAGCGGGGGACCGAAAGGCCUCGCGCGACUGUUGCGGCCGAUGUCGGGUUAGCCAGUUGGAGGGGUAAAGGCUCACCAAGGCGACUGUCCGUAGCUGGGCUGAGAGGACGACCAGCCACGCUGGCGGUGAGACACGGCCGGAACUCUGAGGGAGGCCGGCGGUGGGGAGUUUUGCACAAUGGGGGAAACCCUAACCCAGCCAUGCCGCGUGCGGAAAGAAGCCCUCCGGGUUGUAAACCGCUUUUGUUCGGGAAGAAACCCUCUGGGCUAUGACCCCGGGGGAUGACGGUACCGGAAGAAUAAGCACCGGCUAACUACGUG